ACGAAAUAUGCUUACGGACAGAGCCGGUUGAAACCAUGGUAGAGCCAUAUUUUUAUGCUAAAUCUUUUAAAUAAAAUUAUUGUGUCACAAUGUUAGUUACCAUACUCCUCUGAAACGCUUCGACCGAUUUUUAUGAAAUUUUAUAUGUAUGUUCAGUAGUUCUGAGAAUCGGCUACUAUCUAUUUUUCAUACCCCUAAGUGAUAAGGGUUGCCCACCUCUAAUAUUAAUUUUUUAUUUUAUUUUUUGGAUAAUUUUUAUUAUGUGGUUGAAUGAGGUUUUUUUUCUAUUAUAGAAAUUCCCCAGAAAUCUUAUAUAUUAUGGCAAAACAACGUUUGCCGGGUCAGCUAGUAAUGUAUAAAGGGACAGAGCUCUGGAACAGAGUUGACAAAUAUUAUUGGAUGGGCCAUUAAAAAAAUGUGUAAAUAAAUGUUUAAUUAAAGAUUUAAAAAGGCACUAACGCUGCUGUUGAAAGGGUAUUUUCACUAGGGGAUGAUUAUUGGAGCAGUGAGAAGUCGCAACUUUCUGUAAUAACAUUAUCUGCCGUCUUAACAGUCAAAUUUAAUAUGCUGGAAUGGAAAUUGGAAGCUGUUCGGAUGUGGCUACAUUAUUAGACGAACAUCCUCAUUUGGAAAAAAAAAUUCACUCCGAAGAAAAAUAUGUUUUUAAAAGAAAAUAAAGUUUUUAUCGCUUUUUUUUAAGUUUCACUUCAAAAACACUA